CAGCCGCCACGGUAAUACGUAGGGUGCAAGCGUUAAUCGGAAUUACUGGGCGUAAAGCGUGCGCAGGCGGUUAUAUAAGACAGAUGUGAAAUCCCCGGGCUCAACCUGGGAACUGCAUUUGUGACUGUAUAGCUAGAGUACGGCAGAGGGGGAUGGAAUUCCGCGUGUAGCAGUGAAAUGCGUAGAUAUGCGGAGGAACACCGAUGGCGAAGGCAAUCCCCUGGGCCUGUACUGACGCUCAUGCACGAAAGCGUGGGGAGCAAACAGGAUUAGAUACCCGCGUAGUCCCUGUCUCUUUACA
rnacentral:rRNA from 1 species